GCUGGGCGUGGUGGCGCAUGCCUGUAAUCCCAGCUACUCAGGAGGCUGAGGCAGGAGAAUCGCUUGAACCCGGGAGGUGGAGGUUGCGGUGAGCUGAGAUCGCACCAUUGAACUCCAGCCUGGGUGACAGAGCGACUCUCUGUCUCAA
rfam:Pan troglodytes isolate Yerkes chimp pedigree #C0471 (Clint) chromosome 2B, whole genome shotgun sequence.